rnacentral:rRNA from 1 species
UUGCAUCGAAGAUGAUUUUAACUAUAAAGUGAGUGGCGAACGGGUGAGUAACACGUGGGUAACCUGCCCAGAAGUGGGGGAUAACACCUGGAAACAGAUGCUAAUACCGCAUAACAAAAUUAACCGCAUGGUUGAUUUUUAAAAGAUGGCUUCGGCUAUCACUUCUGGAUGGACCCGCGGCGUAUUAGCUAGUUGGUGAGAUAAAGGCUCACCAAGGCAGUGAUACGUAGCCGACCUGAGAGGGUAAUCGGCCACAUUGGGACUGAGACACGGCCCAGACUCCUACGGGAGGCAGCAGUAGGGAAUCUUCCACAAUGGACGCAAGUCUGAUGGAGCAACGCCGCGUGAGUGAUGAAGGCUUUCGGGUCGUAAAACUCUGUUGUUGGAGAAGAACGUGUGUGAGAGUAACUGCUCAUGCAGUGACGGUAUCCAACCAGAAAGCCACGGCUAACUACGUGCCAGCAGCCGCGGUAAUACGUAGGUGGCAAGCGUUAUCCGGAUUUAUUGGGCGUAAAGCGAGCGCAGGCGGUCUUUUAAGUCUAAUGUGAAAGCCUUCGGCUUAACCGAAGAAGUGCAUUGGAAACUGGGAGACUUGAGUGCAGAAGAGGAGAGUGGAACUCCAUGUGUAGCGGUGAAAUGCGUAGAUAUAUGGAAGAACACCAGUGGCGAAGGCGGCUCUCUGGUCUGCAACUGACGCUGAGGCUCGAAAGCAUGGGUAGCGAACAGGAUUAGAUACCCUGGUAGUCCAUGCCGUAAACGAUGAAUGCUAAGUGUUGGAGGGUUUCCGCCCUUCAGUGCUGCAGCUAACGCAUUAAGCAUUCCGCCUGGGGAGUACGACCGCAAGGUUGAAACUCAAAAGAAUUGACGGGGGCCCGCACAAGCGGUGGAGCAUGUGGUUUAAUUCGAAGCUACGCGAAGAACCUUACCAGGUCUUGACAUCUUCUGCUAACCUAAGAGAUUAGGCGUUCCCUUCGGGGACGGAAUGACAGGUGGUGCAUGGUUGUCCUCAGCUCGUGUCGUGAGAUGUUGGGUUAAGUCCCGCAACGAGCGCAACCCUUAUUAUUAGUUGCCAGCAUUAAGUUGGGCACUCUAUUGAGACUGCCGGUGACAAACCGAAGGAAGGUGGGGACGACGUCAAAUCAUCAUGCCCCUUAUGACCUGGGCUACCACCUUGCUACAAUGGACGGUACAACGAGUUGCCAGACCCCGAGG